UACGGGGGGGGCAGGCGUUGUUCGGAAUUACUGGGCGUAAAGGGCGCGUAGGCGGCCUGCUAAGUCGGAUGUGAAAUCCCUCGGCUCAACCGAGGAACUGCAUCCGAUACUGGCGGGCUUGAAUACGGGAGAGGGUAGUGGAAUUCCUAGUGUAGGAGUGAAAUCCGUAGAUAUUAGGAGGAACACCGGUGGCGAAGGCGGCUACCUGGACCGAUAUUGACGCUAGACGGCGAAAGCGUGGGGAGCAAACAGG
rnacentral:rRNA from 1 species